GGAAAGAGAUGUGGGUCAAUAUUGACACAUUUAAAUACCAAGUCUUUCCUUAGCCAGAACUUACCGAGACACACUUUCUCAAUACUACAAUUUAAUUCUAAUAAUAAUAAUUCUUUUAUGAUGUAGAAGAUCAUACAAUGUUGCAACCACAUAAUAUACUAAGAACUUUCUUAUGAGUACAACACCAUAGUAUCCUAAAGCUCAGACAAUGAUUUGAUAUGACUCUCAAAAAAUGACCUCCAUAUUUUCCCUCCUCUAUGAUCUCAAAAUUAGGCACUAGCAAAAACGUGAAAUAUAAGUUGAAUGACACAAAAAGAAUUUUAGCGUGGAAAACCUUUUCCAAUGUGAGCAAGGUAAAAAACCACGAGACCUUUAAACCUCUUAAACUUCCACUAUAAUGAUAAUGUGAAUACACUAACUUUACCCUUGGGUGGAUAUCACUACAAUGUAUCUCUCAAUUUCUAAGGAACACUCUCACAAAUUAGCUCAAUAUUUCUCUCACAAAAAAAACUCUAUGAUGAUUACUUUUCUCUCUUGAGAAAGACUCUCUUGCUCUCUUCCUUCUUGUUGUUGUUUUUCUCCGGUGGUUGUGUUUUGAAUGCUUUGCUCAUGGUCCUAUUUAUAUUAAAACAAGUCAAUGGUACCUUACAUGCAUGAAGACACUUGGUAUUUGCCUUUCAUGUAAAGCACCAAGUGUCCCUUGCAAAACAUGCAUCAUAGCAUGUGUUAUUCAUGCACUACAUUAUCUACACACCACAAACCUUGCUACAUGUCAUCACAUGUAAUCUUCUACUUUUGCCAAAUAUCUAUUGACCAUGUGACAAUGACUGGACCCCACAUGUAGAACAAUAUUUAAGUGUCAAGCUUUCUUAUAAAAGGAGUUACGCGUGGAGUCAUGAUGAACCUACAGAUAAAAUUUUGUAGGUUGAAGAUGAAGAUAAAGUGAUGAAAAAUUGAGUAGCAUUGACGAUUAAAACUCACAUUGUGGUAGAAGAAGAGAGUGCUCAAAGUUAACGUCAAAGAUACAAGGAUGAAGAAGAUUAGUGUAUUCACAAUAAUGAAGGGAAAAAAAAGAAUCUCUUCAAUGAAAAGGGGAAAAAAUAAGCAACCAAAAAUUAAUUAAUAUUAAAUUAAUUAUAAUUAAAUUGUAACAAACUCACCAAGAGAGUAUCUGAUAGCACAUUACGGAGAAGCAUGUGGAGUAAAAUAGAAUAUAUAUAGUUAAAUUGAAAUACUCACUAUUUUAUUGUCUAUGUGAUCAAUUAUAGUAAAUACAUCCUAGUAAGAUAACUCUGCGCGGGUAAAUUUAUUUGAUACAAUAUUAAAUAUAUUUAGACAUGUAUCUAAAUUUGAAGUUAACUAUUAAUUUUAAAAUGAACAAUGAUUAUAUAAAUUCAAUUGUAUUAAAAUAUAAUAAAAAGGGACACGUGAGAUAAAAAAAGAAUAUUUAAUAUUUGAAGAUAAAGAUUUUAUCUUUUAAAGAUUAAGGUAAUUGUUGAUUAAAAUAAAAUAUGUAUUGUGUUGAUAGUAGUCCGUGAAAUAUAAAGUUUAUUUGAUACAAUAUAAAAUACAUUUAUUUAUGAAUGUAAAUUUAAAAUGAGUUAUUUAAUUGUAAAAUAAAAAUUAAUCAUAUAAACUCAAUUCUAUUAAAUAAUCAUGUUAAAAGAAGAAGAAAAUGACUCGUGAGAAAAAGAAAGAUUUUUUUUUUUGAUAUUUUGAAAUAAGAAUUAUCUUUUAAAUUAAGACAAAUUGUUAAAUAAAAUAAAAUAGACAUUAUGUUGAUAAAAAAUUAUUUGAUACGAUAUGAUACACAUGCAAAAUUUGAAAUAAUUUACUUAAUUUUAAAAUAAACAUUAACCAUAUAAAUUUAAUUGUAUUAAAUAAUCAUAAAUAAACAAUGAAAUGGAGAAAGAAAACAAAAUUAAUAUUUAUGAAUAAAGAUUUUGUCUCUCAAAUUAAGGAAAUAGUUGAUUAAAAUAAAAUAGAUAUUGUGUUGAUAGUGACACGUGAAAUAAAAUAAAUUAUUAAUUUUAUUAAAAUUAAAAAAUAGAUUAUUAAUAUUUUUAGUGGUAAUAAUUAAAUAAAGAAAAAAAAUAAAAUGAAAGUGAGAAAGUGUUUGAAAAAGAAAGGUGAGAAAGAUUUAAAAUUUUAAUUAAAAAAGAGAAUGAAUGAAUGUAAUAUUUAACUGUGAUUUAAUUGAUGAAGGUUGAAAAGUGAAUGUCACAUAGAAGAUAUGAGAAUGUAAAAGAUAAAUAUUAUUUGAUUACUUAAAUAUCUUCUUAUUAGCAUAAAUAAUUUAUAAUGAAAGGACAAUUUUAAAAUCUCAUACAAUUGAUUUUUAAUUUUUUAAUGGAUUGAUAAUUCGUAGUUGAUAGCAUUUAUAAUUUUCAUUUCUCUUUUAUGGAUACAUAUAGUAACAACGUUAGUUUAAAUGAUCAGAAGAUUUGUUUAUUUAGUUCUUACAAUUAAUCUUUAACAAGAACUAAUAUAUAUUCAUUUUAUAACACAUGUUGUUUUUAUGAAAAAUAAACUAUUACUUUAAUAAUACUAUUAAUUUUAGUUGUAAAAGUUUGGUAUUAAAUGGAAAAUUUUACCAAACAGUUUCUCUAUAUCACAAGAAAACUAAGUUUAGUUCACAAAGCCAUAGACAAAUAUGAUAAAUUAAAAAAGAUACAUGGUAGAAUCAAGUUAUUAUUUUUUGUCAUAUUUGAAUUUAUUACCAUCAAUUUAUAAUGCAAAUUCAUAACUACAAUAUUUAUUAGCAUACAAACUACUUCAUCGGUUUUUUAUUAUAAAUCAUUUUUAAUUUUUCACAUAUAUUAAAAAAUAUAAUAAUUAUGAUAUAAAAAAGAUAAAUUAUAAAAGAUUUUAUAAAAUUAUCUUUUAUUAAUAAUAUUAAAAAAAUAAAUUGAAAUAAUUAAAAUGAGAGAAUCAUUCGUUGAUAUUAUAAAACGACUUAUAUUUUGAUAUAAAAUAUUUCUUCAAAAUGACUUACCAUAGAAAAACGGAGGUAGGAAAUGAUUGCUCAAAUAUUUUAGCUUAAAGUUUAUGGUCUCUCUUGGAUUUGGUUCUCAAACAAAUAACAUUUACACAUUUUCUCAAAACAAUAUGCUUUAAAAGGAGGCUUGCAUAGGUCAUCUGAACAAUCAAAGUGUGUCUCACAAUAUUUUAGCCAAUUAUAUGCUUUCCCACCCUCAAUACUUAUUACAAAAAGAAAUAAAAGAAGAAAGAUAAUUCUAACACAAAUAAACUUAAUAACUUCAACCAUAUUUUCCUCUCCAAUUGCAGAAAUAAAAUCAAAUGUGCUUUUUUAUCACUUUAUAAUAACUUAAGUAUUU
rnacentral:lncRNA from 1 species